CAGUAGCCGCGGUAACACGAAGGGUGCAAGCGUUACUCGGAAUUACUGGGCGUAAAGCGUGUGUAGGUGGUUGUUUAAGUCUGUCGUGAAAGCCCUGGGCUCAACCUGGGAAUUGCGAUGGAUACUGGGCGACUAGAGUGCGGUAGAGGAUAGUGGAAUUUCCGGUGUAGCAGUGAAAUGCGUAGAGAUCGGAAGGAACAUCUGUGGCGAAGGCGACUAUCUGGGCCAACACUGACACUGAGACACGAAAGCGUGGGGGGCAAACAGGAUUAGAUACCCGGGUAGUCCCUGUCUCUUAUAC
rnacentral:rRNA from 1 species